AUUGAACGCUGGCGGCAUGCCUUACACAUGCAAGUCGAACGGUAACAGGUCUUCGGAUGCUGACGAGUGGCGAACGGGUGAGUAAUACAUCGGAACGUGCCCGAGAGUGGGGGAUAACGAGGCGAAAGCUUUGCUAAUACCGCAUACGAUCUCAGGAUGAAAGCAGGGGACCGCAAGGCCUUGCGCUCACGGAGCGGCCGAUGGCAGAUUAGGUAGUUGGUGGGAUAAAAGCUUACCAAGCCGACGAUCUGUAGCUGGUCUGAGAGGACGAACAGCCACACUGGGACUGAGACAGGGCCCAGACUCCUACGGGAGGCAGCAGUGGGGAAUUUUGGACAAUGGGCGCAAGCCUGAUCCAGCCAUGCCGCGUGCAGGAUGAAGGCCUUCGGGUUGUAAACUGCUUUUGUACGGAACGAAAAGACUCCUUCUAAUGAAGGGGGUCCAUGACGGUACCGUAAGAAUAAGCACCGGCUAACUACGUGCCAGCCGCCGCCGUAAGAC
rnacentral:rRNA from 1 species